rnacentral:rRNA from 1 species
GUAGAUAUGCAGAGGUACACCAAAAGCGAAGGCAGCUUACUGGACCAGUUUCUGACGCUCAAGAACGUAAGCGUGGGUAGCGAACGGGAUUAGAUACCCCGGUAGUUCACGCCCUUAACGAUGAACACUAGGUAUUGGAGGUCUCGACCCCUUCAGUGCCGACGCAAAUGCAAUAAGUGUUCCGCCUGGGUAGUACGAGCGCAAGCUUUAAACUCAAAGGAAUAGACGGGGACCCACACAAGCGGUGGAGCAUCUGGUUUAAUUCGACAAUAAGCGAGGAACCUUACCAAGGCUUGACAUCCCGAGAAGAUCGCCGAAAGGUGAUUGUGCCGUUAGGAACUCGGUGACAGGUGCUGCAUGGUUGUCGUCAGCUCGUGCCUUGAGGUGUUCGGUUAAGUCCGUGAACGAGCGCAACCCUUGUCUCAAGUUGCAUAUUUCUUGAGAGACUGCCGGUUUCAAAUCGGAGGAAGGUAAGGAUGACGUCAAAUCAGCAUGGCCCUUAUGUCUUGGGCGACACAGGUGCUACAAUGGCCGGUACAAUGGGCAGCGAAGGAGCAAUCUGGAGCAAAUCAUCAUAACCGGUCCUAGUUCGUAUUGAUGGCUGCAACUCGCCUUCAUGAAGUAGGA